GACGAACCGUGCGAACGUUAUUCGGAUUCACUGGGCUUAAAGCGCGUGUAGGCGGGUAGGUGCGUCGAGAGUUGAAAGCCCCCGGCUCAACCGGGGAACAGGCCUCGAUACGGCCGGCCUGGAGGAAGGUAGAGGGAGCCGGAACUUCCGGUGGAGCGGUGAAAUGCGUUGAGAUCGGAAGGAACGCCCGUGGCGAAAGCGGGCUCCUGGACCUUACCUGACGCUGAGACGCGAAAGCCAGGGGAGCAAACGGG
rnacentral:rRNA from 1 species